GUGGAUUAGAUACCCUGGUAGUCCACGCCCUAAACGAUGCGAACUGGACGUUGGGUGGACUUAGCCACUCAGUGUCGAAGCUAACGCGUUAAGUUCGCCGCCUGGGGAGUACGGUCGCAAGACUGAAACUCAAAGGAAUUGACGGGGGCCCGCACAAGCGGUGGAGUAUGUGGUUUAAUUCGAUGCAACGCGAAGAACCUUACCUGGUCUUGACAUGUCCGGAACCCUGCAGAAAUGCGGGGGUGCCUUCGGGAAUCGGAACACAGGUGCUGCACGGCCGUCGACAGCU
rnacentral:rRNA from 1 species